rnacentral:rRNA from 1 species
UCAUUGGAAACUGGGGAACUUGAGUGCAGAAGAGGAAAGUGGAAUUCCACGUGUAGCGGUGAAAUGCGUAGAGAUGUGGAGGAACACCAGUGGCGAAGGCGACUUUCUGGUCUGUAACUGACACUGAGGCGCGAAAGCGUGGGGAGCGAACAGGAUUAGAUACCCUGGUAGUCCACGCCGUAACGAUGAGUGCUAAGUGUUAGAGGGUUUCCGCCCUUUAGUGCUGCAGCAAACGCAGUAAGCACUCCGCCUGGGGAGUACGGCAGCAAGGCUGAAACUCAAAGGAAUUGACGGGGGCCCGCACAAGCGGUGGAGCAUGUGGUUUAAUUCGAAGCCACGCGAAGAACCUUACCAGGUUUUGACAUCCUCUGACACUCCUAGAGAUAGGACGUUCCCCUUCGGGGGACAGAGUGACAGGUGGUGCAUGGUUGUCGUCAGCUCGUGUCGUGAGAUGUUGGGUUAAGUCCCGCAACGAGCGCAACCCUUGAUCUUAGUUGCCAGCAUUCAGUUGGGCACUCUAAGGUGACUGCCGGUGACAAACCGGAGGAAGGUGGGGAUGACGUCAAAUCAUCAUGCCCCUUAUGACCUGGGCUACACACGUGCUACAAUGGAUAGAACAAAGGGCAGCAAAACCGCGAGGUCAAGCAAAUCCCAUAAAUCUAUUCUCAGUUCGGAUUGCAGGCUGCAACUCGCCUGCAUGAAGCCGGAAUCGCUA